rnacentral:rRNA from 1 species
GAUGAACGCUGGCGGCGUGCUUAACACAUGCAAGUCGAACGAUGAAGCUCAGCUUGCUGGGUGGAUUAGUGGCGAACGGGUGAGUAACACGUGAGUAACCUGCCCUUAACUCUGGGAUAAGCCUGGGAAACUAGGUCUAAUACCGGAUAGGAGCGUCCACCGCAUGGUGGGUGUUGGAAAGAUUUAUCGGUUUUGGAUGGACUCGCGGCCUAUCAGCUUGUUGGUGAGGUAAUGGCUCACCAAGGCGACGACGGGUAGCCGGCCUGAGAGGGUGACCGGCCACACUGGGACUGAGACACGGCCCAGACUCCUACGGGAGGCAGCAGUGGGGAAUAUUGCACAAUGGCGAAAGCCUGAUGCAGCGACGCCGCGUGAGGGAUGACGGCCUUCGGGUUGUAAACCUCUUUCAGUAGGGAAGAAGCGAAAGUGACGGUACCUGCAGAAGAAGCACCGGCUAACUACGUG